UACGGGGGGGGCAAGCGUUGUUCGGAAUUACUGGGCGUAAAGGGCUCGUAGGCGGCCAACUAAGUCAGACGUGAAAUCCCCAGGACCUCAACCUGGGAACUGCGUCUGAUACUGGAUGGCUUGAAUCCGGGAAAGGGAUGCAGAAUUCCAGGUGUAGCGGUGAAAUGCGUAGAUAUCUGGAGGAAUACCGGUGGCGAAGGCGGCAUCCUGGACCGGCAUUGACGCUGAGGAGCGAAAGCCAGGGGAGCAAACGGG
rnacentral:rRNA from 1 species